rnacentral:rRNA from 1 species
UGUGGAGUCGUUGUUGAAAUACCACUCUGAUCGGAUUGGAUGUCUAACCUUGGCCCAUGAUCUGGGUUGGGGACAGUGCCUGGUGGGUAGUUUAACUGGGGCGGUUGCCUCCCAAAAUGUAACGGAGGCGCCCAAAGGUUCCCUCAGCCUGGUUGGCAAUCAGGUGGUGAGUGUAAGUGCACAAGGGAGCUUGACUGUGAGACAGACAUGUCGAACAGGGACGAAAGUCGGGACUAGUGAUCCGGCACCUACUUGUGGAUGUGGUGUCGCUCAACGGAUAAAAGGUACCCCGGGGAUAACAGGCUGAUCUUCCCCAAGAGUCCAUAUCGACGGGAUGGUUUGGCACCUCGAUGUCGGCUCGUCGCAUCCUGGGGCUGGAGUAGGUCCCAAGGG